rnacentral:lncRNA from 1 species
CAUGCAUGAUUUUAUAAAUCGAGUAUAUAGUGAAAUUUUAAAAAUUUUUGGAUUAAAUUUAAUUUAAUCUAAGCAUGCAUAAAAUCAAAUCUUCAAACCAUAACAGGAUCAUCAUAUAUGAGAUAAGAUUUAUAUAUAAAAAUCAAACAAAAAAAAAUAAAUUUAAAACAUACCUAGACAUGGAUCAAUCUUCAACGUGAAC